GACGAACGCUGGCGGCGUGCUUAACACAUGCAAGUCGAACGGAAAGGCCCUGCUUUUGUGGGGUGCUCGAGUGGCGAACGGGUGAGUAACACGUGAGUAACCUGCCCUUGACUUUGGGAUAACUUCAGGAAACUGGGGCUAAUACCGGAUAGGAGCUCCUGCUGCAUGGUGGGGGUUGGAAAGUUUCGGCGGUUGGGGAUGGACUCGCGGCUUAUCAGCUUGUUGGUGGGGUAGUGGCUUACCAAGGCUUUGACGGGUAGCCGGCCUGAGAGGGUGACCGGCCACAUUGGGACUGAGAUACGGCCCAGACUCCUACGGGAGGCAGCAGUGGGGAAUAUUGCACAAUGGGCGGAAGCCUGAUGCAGCAACGCCGCGUGCGGGAUGACGGCCUUCGGGUUGUAAACCGCUUUCGCCUGUGACGAAGCGUGAGUGACGGUAAUGGGUAAAGAAGCACCAGCUAACUACGUGCCAGCAGCCGCGGUGAUACGUAGGGUGCGAGCGUUGUCCGGAUUUAUUGGGCGUAAAGGGCUCGUAGGUGGUUGAUCGCGUCGGAAGUGUAAUCUUGGGGCUUAACCCUGAGCGUGCUUUCGAUACGGGUUGACUUGAGGAAGGUAGGGGAGAAUGGAAUUCCUGGUGGAGCGGUGGAAUGCGCAGAUAUCAGGAGGAACACCAGUGGCGAAGGCAGUUCUCUGGGCCUUUCCUGACGCUGAGGAGCGAAAGCGUGGGGAGCGAACAGGCUUAGAUACCCUGGUAGUCCACGCUGUAAACGGUGGGUACUAGGUGUGGGGUCCAUUCCACGGGUUCCGUGCCGUAGCUAACGCUUUAAGUACCCCGCCUGGGGAGUACGGCCGCCAGGCUAAUACUCAAAGGAAUUGACGGGGCCCCGCACCAGCGGCGGAGCAUGCGGAUUAAUUCUAUGCAACGCGUAGAACCUUACCUGGGUUUGACAUGGAUCGGGAGUGCUCACAGAUGGGUGUGCCUCUUUUGGGGUCGGUUCACAAGUGGUGCAUGGCUGUCCUCCGCUCGUGUCCUGAAAAGUUGGGUUAAGUUCCCCAACGAACGCAACCCUUGUUCACUGUUGCCAGCCCUUUAUGGUGGGGACUCCAUGGAAACCCCCGGGGUCAACUCGGAAGAAGGUGGGAAAGACAUCCAAGUCUCAUGCCCCUUAAUUCCAGGGCUUCACGCCUGUAUAAAUGGCUGGGUACAAACAGUGUCAACCCUGUGAGGGGGACCAAACCUUGCAAGCCCCGUCUCAUUUCGAAAUGGAGUCUGCAACUUCACCUCCAUGAAUCAGAAUCGCUUUUUAAUCCAAAUCAUCAACCUUGGCGGGAAUACUUUCCCGGGCU
rnacentral:rRNA from 1 species